CACCGCCCGUCACACCAUGGGAGCCAGCUGUACCGGAAGUCGGUGCGUUAACCCGCAGGGGAGAUAGCCGCCUAUGGUAUGACUGGUGACUGGGGUG
rnacentral:rRNA from 1 species